rnacentral:rRNA from 1 species
GGUAGCGAAAUUCCUUGUCAGGUAAGUUCUGACCCGCACGAAUGGCGUAAUGAUUUGGGCACUGUCUCGACAGCCCACCCGGCGAAAUUGUAGUACUGGUGAAGAUGCCAGUUACCCGCAACUAGACGGAAAGACCCCAUGGAGCUUUACUGUAGCUUAAUACUGAAGAUCGGUAAUGCAUGUACAGGAUAGGUGGGAGACUUGGAAGCCAGGGCGUCAGCUUUGGUGGAGUCGUCCUUGGGAUACCACUCUUGUAUUGCUGGUUUUCUAACCUGCGGCCCUGAAUCGGGUCGGGGGACACUGUUAGGUGGGCAGUUUGACUGGGGCGGUCGCCUCCAAAAGAGUAACGGAGGCGCUCAAAGGUUCGUUCAGCACGGACGGAAAUCGUGCAUUGAGUGUAAACGCAUAAACGAGCCUAACUGCGAGACCGACGGGUCGAGCAGUAACGAAAGUUGGAGUUAGUGAUCCGGUGGUAUGUGAGUGGAAAUGCCAUCGCUCAACGGAUAAAAGCUACCCUGGGGAUAACAGGCUGAUCUCCCCCAAGCGUCCACAGCGACGGGGAGGUUUGGCACCUCGAUGUCGGCUCGUCACAUCCUGGGGCUGAAUUCGGUCCCAAGGGUUCGGCUGUUCGCCGAUUAAAGUGGCACGCGAGCUGGGUUCAGAACGUCGUGAGACAGUUCGGUCCCUAUCUGUUGCGGGCGUAAGAGAUUUGAAGGGAGCUGUCCUUAGUACGAGAGGACCGGGAUGGACGUACCUCUGGUGCACCAGUUGUCGUGCCAACGGCACAGCUGGGUAGCUAUGUACGGACGGGAUAAACGCUGAAGGCAUCUAAGCGUGAAGCCCCCCCUAAGAUGAGAUCUCUCAUCCUUUAUGGAGUAAGGGCCCAGGAAGACUACCUGGUUGAUAGGCAGGAGGUGGAAGCGCAGUAAUGUGUGCAGCUGACCUGUACUAAUCGCCCGAGGGCUUGACCU